GAGUUUGAUCCUGGCUCAGGACGAACGCUGGCGGCGUGCCUAAUACAUGCAAGUGGAACGCAUGAUUGAUACCGGAGCUUGCUCCACCAUUAAUCAUGAGUCGCGAACGGGUGAGUAACGCGUAGGUAACCUACCUCAUAGCGGGGGAUAACUAUUGGAAACGAUAGCUAAUACCGCAUAACAGUAUUUAUCACAUGGUAAAUGCUUGAAAGGAGCAAUUGCUUCACUAUGAGAUGGACCUGCGUUGUAUUAGCUAGUUGGUGGGGUAACGGCUCACCAAGGCAUCGAUACAUAGCCGACCUGAGAGGGUGAUCGGCCACACUGGGACUGAGACACGGCCCAGACUCCUACGGGAGGCAGCAGUAGGGAAUCUUCGGCAAUGGGGGGAACCCUGACCGAGCAACGCCGCGUGAGUGAAGAAGGUUUUCGGAUCGUAAAGCUCUGUUGUAAGAGAAGAACGUGUGUGAGAGUGGAAAAUUCACACAGUGACGGUAACUUACCAGAAAGGGACGGCUAACUACGUGCCAGCAGCCGCGGUAAUACGUAGGUCCCGAGCGUUGUCCGGAUUUAUUGGGCGUAAAGCGAGCGCAGGCGGUUUGAUAAGUCUGAAGUAAAAGGCUGUGGCUUAACCAUAGUAUGCUUUGGAAACUGUCAAACUUGAGUGCAGAAGGGGAGAGUGGAAUUCCAUGUGUAGCGGUGAAAUGCGUAGAUAUAUGGAGGAACACCGGUGGCGAAAGCGGCUCUCUGGUCUGUAACUGACGCUGAGGCUCGAAAGCGUGGGGAGCGAACAGGAUUAGAUACCCUGGUAGUCCACGCCGUAAACGAUGAGUGCUAGGUGUUGGGUCCUUUCCGGGACUCAGUGCCGCAGCUAACGCAUUAAGCACUCCGCCUGGGGAGUACGACCGCAAGGUUGAAACUCAAAGGAAUUGACGGGGGCCCGCACAAGCGGUGGAGCAUGUGGUUUAAUUCGAAGCAACGCGAAGAACCUUACCAGGUCUUGACAUCCCAGUGACCGUCCUAGAGAUAGGAUUUUUCUUCGGAACACUGGAGACAGGUGGUGCAUGGUUGUCGUCAGCUCGUGUCGUGAGAUGUUGGGUUAAGUCCCGCAACGAGCGCAACCCCUAUUGUUAGUUGCCAUCAUUCAGUUGGGCACUCUAGCGAGACUGCCGGUAAUAAACCGGAGGAAGGUGGGGAUGACGUCAAAUCAUCAUGCCCUUUAUGACCUGGGCUACACACGUGCUACAAUGGCUGGUACAACGAGUCGCAAGUCGGUGACGACAAGCUAAUCUCUUAAAGCCAGUCUCAGUUCGGAUUGUAGGCUGCAACUCGCCUACAUGAAGUCGGAAUCGCUAGUAAUCGCGGAUCAGCACGCCGCGGUGAAUACGUUCCCGGGCCUUGUACACACCGCCCGUCACACCACGAGAGUUUGUAACACCCGAAGUCGGUGAGGUAACCAUUUGGAGCCAGCCGCCUAAGGUGGGAUAGAUGAUUGGGGUGAAGUCGUAACAAGGUAGCCGUAUCGGAAGGUGCGGCUGGAUCACCUCCUUUCU
rnacentral:rRNA from 1 species